UACGUAGGGUGCGAGCGUUAAUCGGAAUUAUUGGGCGUAAAGGGUGCGUAGGCGGUUUGACAAGUCUCAUGUGAAAUCUUCGGGCUCAACCCGAAGUCUGCAUGGGAAACUGUCGGGCUUGAGUAUGGGAGAGGUGAGUGGAAUUUCCGGUGUAGCGGUGAAAUGCGUAGAUAUCGGAAGGAACACCUGUGGCGAAAGCGGCUCACUGGACCAUAACUGACGCUGAUGCACGAAAGCUAGGGGAGCAAACAGG
rnacentral:rRNA from 1 species